UCGCGGCGAAGCUGGAGGUGCUGGCGGAGGAGCUGCUUGACUUGCUGUGCGAGAAUCUGGGACUGGAGAAGGGAUAUCUGAAGAAGGCCUUCUGCGGGUCGAAAGGGCCGACCUUCGGCACGAAGGUGAGCAACUACCCUCCGUGCCCGAAGCCCGAUCUGAUCAAGGGGCUCCGGGCCCACACGGACGCCGGCGGCAUCAUCCUCCUCUUCCAGGACGACAAGGUGAGCGGCCUGCAGCUCCUCAAAGACGGCGAGUGGGUGGACGUGCCGCCCAUGCGCCACUCCAUCGUCAUCAACAUCGGCGACCAGCUCGAGGUGAUCACCAAUGGCAGAUACAAGAGCGUGAUGCACAGAGUGAUCGCGCAGACCGACGGCACGCGGAUGUCGCUCGCCUCCUUCUACAACCCCGGCAGCGACGCCGUGAUCUAUCCGGCGCCGGCGCUCGUGGAGAAGGACGGCUGCCAACAGCUCUACCCCAAAUUCGUGUUCGAGGACUACAUGAAGCUCUAUGCCGGGGUGAAGUUCCAGGCCAAGGAGCCCAGGUUCGAGGCCUUCAAGAACACUGCUACACUGGGACAGAUCGCAACUGCUUGAGUGCUUCAUUAAUU
rnacentral:lncRNA from 1 species